CCUUCACCAUCAUGAUCCAGAAGAUGAUUAUGGGAGAUUUGUUGCGAUUUUGCUGGUUAAUGUUUAUGGUUCUUCUAGGAUUCACCGCAGCGUUCUACGUCAACUUCCAAACCCUGGAGCCGGAGUCUUGGCCACAUUUCCGCGACUUCAGUAUGUGCCUCUUCACCAUGUUCCAGCUCUUCCUGGGACUGCUGGACAUCCCCAUCAACUAUGAAAAGUU